GACCUGGCGGGGACAUUGAGUGCCCCGCUACGGAGGAGUCUGAGUGGAUAGAGGCUUGGAGUGUGGAAGUGUAUGGCUUUCACAAAAAGAAAGCCAAGCCCUGGUGCUGGAUGACGAAGCAGUGAGAUGGGAGAUGGUGCUCAGGGAACUUGCAGGGGACUCGUAGAGGAGAAAAAAGGGAUGAAAGCGGGAGUAGAGGCAGUGGGUUAGGGGUGAAAACCCCUGCUCCAUGUAACCUCCCUAGAAAGUGGCCAAGUGGGCAGAGGGCAGAGGCCCUGGCCAACGCCAUCAGCCCCCCAUGCUUCCUGAGCUCUGCUGAGCCCUCCUCCUGGCUCCAGAAGUCAGACGAAACCCUGAAGGAGAGCAGAGGCGGGUGAGGAGGGGGUGGGCGGGAAACAAGCCCAGGCCUCUCACCCCAGCAGGGCCUUCCUUCCCAGCGGCUGGAGCCAACCCUGCUGAGGAGCCAGAGGUUACAGGGAAGGAUUAAGGAGUUGGUUGCUUUUUUACCCAAAUUGUGGCUGCAUUUCUCUCUCUCUCUCUCUUUUUUUUUUUUUUAAAGAAAAAUGUUCCUGUACACGCACCCGGAGGCUUUUGCAGGAGGCGGCUGUUGGAGAACCGGGAAAACAAGCCAAGAAACAAGAGAGAGGAAAAAGACCACGCCUCGCUUGGCAGAUUCCUAAUGGCCCAGGAGACCUGAGGCUUUACAGUGGGAGGCCGGUGGGGGCUGGCUCGGGUGGGAGGGAAGGGCAGGCCGAAGGACAGCCACUUGCUGGCCAGUGACCUUGGGCGGGCUGCUGCCUGCUUCCCUCUGGUGAGAAUGGGGAGGAGGGGGCAGGGGCCGGGCUGGCCGGCUGAGGUCACAGGAAGGCCCCUUCCAGCCUGAAACGCGAUCUCGGGAUGUGGGGCCUGCCAACCUGCAGCGACCCUGGGCCAGCAGAGAUGAAAGGCUGCCUGUCCCCGGCUUCCGGACCCCCGAGGCCCCAGUGCCUCCAACUUGAAGGGCAGCAAAGCGGCUGCAGCUGGCUGAACCCGGUUACUGGGCUCCCCCCACCACCACUACCACCACCGCCACCACCCUCCCACACCACCUGAUGUCCUUCAACCCUCCCUUCCCUGUUUUGCAGAGGACACUCGGAGCCCAGAGAGGGCUGGUGACCUGCCCGAGGUCACACAGCAAGUUGGAGGCUGAGCCAGGACUCACCACAAAGUCUUUGGAUUCCGAAGCCAGGCCUCAUUCCCUUUCCUGGAAACUUGGCUGCCUGGGGGGGCUUACCCUGGGGAGUUGGAGAGACCCAGGGUUAGGGAGGACAGUUGGGAGCUGUGUCUGUUUGAAGUCACAGCUUAAUGUUGAUUAAAGUGCCUUAAAAAAAAAAAAAAAAAAGACGAAAGGAACGUUCCCAGCCCCUGCCAUGAGCCUGGACUUGCUCUGCUGGCAGGGGAAGGAACAGUGGCCAGCUGCGGCCUCAGUUCCUGCUGCUCCCGCCCCAGCAGACAGAGGGACAAAGGCCUCUUCUCAGCCUGUCCCCUCCAGCCCCCUGGAUCAGAGCAACAACCAGGAGGCUCUGUCACUGACCAGCUAAGUCCCUGUUUCUCUCUAGGUCUUAGUGCCCUUUCUGGAAAAUGGGGGCAGAGUAUCUGCCUGACCUACUUCUCAGCACCAUUUUGAGGUUUCAAAGAGGGAGAGUUAACAGAAAUACAAACCUCUCAGCACCUCCUUCUGCCUGAGGGUCGGCCGCCUCUGAGACCCCUCUCCCUCACCCUUAAACCGGCCAGCCCCAGUGCUCAGCGGGGACCAUCCCUCACUUUGGGGAGCCCUCUCUCACCUCCAGACUGUGCUGCUCCUUCAAGAUGAAGAAACUGAGAAAAGGAAAGAUAGAGUCAUGUACCAGAAGUCACAAGCAAGCUGGAAGCUGAGCCAGGACUCAGUCCAAGAAGUAGCAGAACAAGGAUUCAGAUGCAGACCCCAGGCUGCAAUCAGUAAGCCACUAAUGAGGAGACACAGGUUCUAUCCUUGGUCCAGGAAGAUCCCGCAUGCCAUGUGGUAACCAAGC